CUGAGUGUUCGUUUUUGUGGCAGAGUUUGUAUGCAUGAUUUUAUUAACUCUAGUGUACAUACUAGGUUAUUGAUUUAUAAUUUCGAACCUGUAAGUCUUACUAAUUUGUUAUAAAAAGAAAUAGUAUAAAGCUAUGCCACGAAGGAAGUCAAUAAAGGAAGCUGAAGGAAGACAAAGUUGACUACAGACGAAAUAGACGAACGAUUCAGCAGAGGCAAGAUUGCCAAGAUGGCACUUUUCAUUAGAUAUAUAAUUUGGGUUUGAUCUCUAACAAAUUUUUGUAAUAUUAUAGUUAUAGCUAGGCUAUAUCACGUGUUUAAACUAAAGAUGAUUAAAGUGUAAUUGAGAACCAAGUGAAGUCGAUUACAUUAUUAUUUUUAAUCUAGCGCAUUAUUAGCGGUGUAAUUCCAAUGUUCUGCUAUUGACAACCCUGCAUGCGCUCAGCUGAUCAAAGACUGUAAACAGAUUCGUGUGUGUUUUCAGAAUAUCGUCUACUUUUGUUUGUUUUCUAAUCCAGAAAGCUUGUUUCCUAUCUCUUCGAGUUAUCCCCAACAUUACCCUCUCCAUUCCUCUUUGGGAACAAGCUGAGGAAGGAGUUCCCAGGAGUGUGAUUUAUUUUUCCACCCAAUGGUUUAGAGACCACUUUGAUCCUGUUUUCCUGGAGGAUCGGCAGCUGGGUUAGCAGGUUUAAAAAAAUAUCAAAGGACACACGGUCAAUCUGAUUGAAGAAGGUUUUUUUCUAGACUGCCUGGAUAAACCCACGGGGCCUCACUAAUUACUGGUGGAGAAUAAGGAGUGUGUACAACGAGGGACAGUGCAUACAAGAGACAAGGUCGGGUCCAUCUCCUAAACAUGGAGCAAACAAGUCUCGGGCGUCAGUCAGGAGAUGGAGCACGGCCCGCCACAAGUCUGGCACCGGCGUCCCUACAUCUGCGCACUUCGUAGAGCUAGGCACAUCAGUUUCUCCCUCUUCAGAAGAUGACGCAGACUGCGGAGGCGUGUGGUUCGGCACAGGUCCUGCCACUACUGAAGGGAGAACCAAACCAGCGUGUCCUAACAACGAGCUACUGAAGGGAGAACCAAACCAAUGUCCUAACAAUCUCCAACCCGCGGCAGGAAACUGGCUCUUCAUGCACUGGAAGACCCGAAGUGUCUCGCUGCACCUUCCAUGGAGGAAUUGGACCCUGCUUCGCACCAACUCGGACCUGGCAGUCCUUUCCAGGGAGGGAGGACACUGCCUUGCUUCAUCUAACCUAACCAUUACAUGUUGCCAAUCACUCUUGUAAUGUUAUUAUUCAUUAUGUUCUGUGAUGGACCCACAUGACUGGUGUUAGUACUACUAAUAAAUCAUAAUUAAGAAAA